GACGAACGCUGGCGGCGUGCUUAACACAUGCAAGUCGAACGAGAGCGUAGAGAAAGCUUGCUUUUUCUACAAUCUAGUGGCAAACGGGUGAGUAACGCGUAAACAACCUGCCCUACGGAUGGGGACAACAGCUGGAAACGGCUGCUAAUACCGAAUACGUUCCGAAAGUCGCAUGACUAUCGGAAGAAAGGAUGGCCUCUAUUUAUAAGCUAUCGCCGGAGGAGGGGUUUGCGUCUGAUUAGCUAGUUGGAGGGGUAACGGCCCACCAAGGCGACGAACAGUAGCCGGUCUGAGAGGAUGAACGGCCACAUCGGAACUGAGACACGGUCCAGACUCCUACGGGAGGCAGCAGUGGGGAAUCUUCCGCAAUAGGCGAAAGCCUGACGGAGCCACGCCGCGUGAGUGAAGACGGCCUUCGGGUUGUAAAGCUCUGUUAUACGGGACGAAUAAUCUUGUGGUUAAUACCCAUGAGAAGUGACGGUACCGUAAGAGAAAGCCACGGCUAACUACGUG
rnacentral:rRNA from 1 species